rnacentral:tRNA from 1 species
GGGAAGGUGGCUCAGUGGUAGAGUGCUUGCCUUGCAUGCAUGAGGCUCUGGAUUCAAUUUUCUCA